UGAAUACGAGAUGCUACGGCGUCGAAGCAGUCUAUGUCAUACUUCCAAGAAAAGCUCGCACUGUCAUAAACAAAUAAUGCCUGUACCAUAACCGACACAGGUGGGUAGGUAGAGUAUACUAAGGGGCGCGAGAUAACUCUCUCUAAGGAACUCGGCAAAAUGACUCCGUAACUUCGGGAGAAGGAGUGCCUUAUUUAUAAGGUUGCAAUAACAAGAUCCAAGCAACUGUUUAUCAAAAACACAGGUCUCCGCUAAGUCGUAAGACGAUGUAUGGGGGCUGACGCCUGCCCAGUGCCAGAAGGUUAAAGAAGUUGGUUAGCAUUCGCGAAGCUGAUAACUGAAGCCCUGGUGAACGGCGGCCGUAACAAUAACGGUCCUAAGGUAGCGAAAUUCCUUGUCGGGUAAGUUCCGACCCGCACGAAAGGCGUAAUGAUUUGGAUACUGUCUCGGAGAGGGGCUCGGUGAAAUAGACUUGUCUGUGAAGAUGCGGACUACCUGCACCAGGACAGAAAGACCCUAUGAAGCUUUACUGUAACUUGAGAUUGAAAUUGGACUUUACUUGCGCAGUAUAGGUGGGAGGCGUUGAUAAUAUUCUUGCGGGAUUAUUUGAGCCAUCAGUGAGAUACCACUCUUGUAAUGUUAGAUUUCUAACUUUGUAUCAUUAUCUGGUCAAAGGACAGUUUCAGGCGGGCAGUUUGACUGGGGCGGUCGCCUCCUAAACGGUAACGGAGGCGCACAAAGGUUUCCUCUGAACGGGUAGAAAUCGUAUCUAGAGUGUAAAGGCAUAAGGAAGCUUGACUGUGAGACCUACAAGUCGAGCAGGGACGAAAGUCGGUCUUAGUGAUCUGACGGUGCUGAGUGGAAAGGCCGUCACUCAACGGAUAAAAGUUACUCUAAGGAUAACAGGCUGAUCUCCCCCAAGAGUUCACACCGACGGGGAGGUUUGGCACCUCGAUGUCGGCUCAUCGCAUCCUGGGGCGGUAGUACGUCCCAAGGGUUGGGCUGUUCGCCCAUGAAAGCGGUACGCGAGCUGGGUUCAGAACGUCGUGAGACAGUUCGGUCCAUAUCCGGUGUAGGCGUUAGAAUAUUGAGAGGAGCCUUCUUUAGUACGAGAGGACCGAGAAGGACAUACCUCUGGUGUACCAGUUAUCGUGCCAACGGUAAACGCUGGGUAGCUAUGUAUGGAGUGGAUAACCGCUGAAAGCAUCUAAGUGGGAAGCCCACCUCAAGAUAAGUAUUCUCAUC
rnacentral:rRNA from 1 species